UACGUAGGGUGCAAGCGUUAAUCGGAAUUACUGGGCGUAAAGCGUGCGCAGGCGGUUUUGUAAGUCUGUCGUGAAAGCCCCGGGCUCAACCUGGGAAUUGCGAUGGAGACUGCAAGGCUUGAAUUUGGCAGAGGGGGGUAGAAUUCCACGUGUAGCAGUGAAAUGCGUGGAGAUGUGGAGGAACACCGAUGGCGAAGGCAGCCCCCUGGGUCAAGAUUGACGCUCAUGCACGAAAGCGUGGGGAGCAAACAGG
rnacentral:rRNA from 1 species